GUGCAUGCGGAGCUACCAUGCAGUCGAGCGGUAACAGAUAGUAUCUUGCUACUCUGAUGACAGCGGCGGACGGGUGAGUAAUGCUUGGGAAUGUACCUUAUGGUGGGGGACAACAGUUGGAAACGACUGCUAAUACCGCAUAAUGUCUUCGGACCAAAGCGGGGGACCUUCGGGCCUCGCGCCAUAGGAUCAGCCCAAGUGGGAUUAGCUAGUUGGUGAGGUAAUGGCUCACCAAGGCGACGAUCCCUAGCUGGUUUGAGAGGAUGAUCAGCCACGCUGGGACUGAGACACGGCCCAUACUCCUACGGGAGGCAGCAGUGGGGAAUAUUGCACGAUGGGCGCAAGCCUGAUGCAGCCAUGCCGCGUGUGUGAAGAAGGCCUUCGGGUUGUAAAGCACUUUCACUAAAGAAGAAAGGUUGGAUGUUAAUAGCAUUCAGCUGUGACGUUACUUACAGAAGAAUCACCGGCUAACUCCGUGCCAGCAACCGCGGAAAUACCGAGGGUGCGAGCGUUAAUCUGAAUUACUGGGCGUAAAGCGUACGCUAGCGGUUUGUUAAUCAAGAUGUGAAAGCCCCGGGCUCAACCUGGGAACUGCAUUUCGAACUGGCAAACUAGAGUGUGAUAGAGGGUGGUAGAAUUUCAGGUGUAGCGGUGAAAUGCGUAGAGAUCUGAAGGAAUACCGAUGGCGAAGGCAGCCACCUGGGUCAACACUGACACUCAUGUACGAGAGCGUGGGGAGCAUACAUGCUUGAUACCCCC
rnacentral:rRNA from 1 species